CCGGCACGGGUGAGUAACACGUAUGCAAUCCACCUGUAACAGGGGGAUAACCCGGAGAAAUCCGGACAAUACCCCAUAAUAUGGGCGCUCCGCAUGGAGAGCCCAUUAAAGAGAGCAAUUUUGGUUACAGACGAGCAUGCGCUCCAUUAGCCAGUUGGCGGGGUAACGGCCCACCAAAGCGACGAUGGAUAGGGGUUCUGAGAGGAAGGUCCCCCACAUUGGAACUGAGACACGGUCCAA
rnacentral:rRNA from 1 species